CGUGGGGAACCUGCCCCAUAGUCUGGGAUACCACUUGGAAACAGGUGCUAAUACCGGAUAAGAAAGCGGAUCGCAUGAUCAGCUUUUAAAAGGCGGCGUAAGCUGUCGCUAUGGGAUGGCCCCGCGGUGCAUUAGCUAGUUGGUAAGGUAAAGGCUUACCAAGGCGAUGAUGCAUAGCCGAGUUGAGAGACUGAUCGGCCACAUUGGGACUGAGACACGGCCCAAACUCCUACGGGAGGCAGCAGCU
rnacentral:rRNA from 1 species